rnacentral:rRNA from 1 species
UCCUGACUGACCGAUAGUGAACCAGUACCGUGAGGGAAAGGCGAAAAGAACCCCGGCGAGGGGAGUGAAAAAGAACCUGAAACCGUGUACGUACAAGCAGUGGGAGCACGCUUAGGCGUGUGACUGCGUACCUUUUGUAUAAUGGGUCAGCGACUUAUAUUCUGUAGCAAGGUUAACCGAAUAGGGGAGCCGAAGGGAAACCGAGUCUUAACUGGGCGUUAAGUUGCAGGGUAUAGACCCGAAACCCGGUGAUCUAGCCAUGGGCAGGUUGAAGGUUGGGUAACACUAACUGGAGGACCGAACCGACUAAUGUUGAAAAAUUAGCGGAUGACUUGUGGCUGGGGGUGAAAGGCCAAUCAAACCGGGAGAUAGCUGGUUCUCCCCGAAAGCUAUUUAGGUAGCGCCUCGUGAAUUCAUCUCCGGGGGUAGAGCACUGUUUCGGCAAGGGGGUCAUCCCGACUUACCAACCCGAUGCAAACUGCGAAUACCGGAGAAUGUUAUCACGGGAGACACACGGCGGGUGCUAACGUCCGUCGUGAAGAGGGAAACAACCCAGACCGCCAGCUAAGGUCCCAAAGUCAUGGUUAAGUGGGAAACGAUGUGGGAAGGCCCAGACAGCCAGGAUGUUGGCUUAGAAGCAGCCAUCAUUUAAAGAAAGCGUAAUAGCUCACUGGUCGAGUCGGCCUGCGCGGAAGAUGUAACGGGGCUAAACCAUGCACCGAAGCUGCGGCAGCGACGCUUAUGCGUUGUUGGGUAGGGGAGCGUUCUGUAAGCCUGCGAAGGUGUGCUGUGAGGCAUGCUGGAGGUAUCAGAAGUGCGAAUGCUGACAUAAGUAACGAUAAAGCGGGUGAAAAGCCCGCUCGCCGGAAGACCAAGGGUUCCUGUCCAACGUUAAUCGGGGCAGGGUGAGUCGACCCCUAAGG